rnacentral:snRNA from 1 species
ACUCCGUGAAUCGGAGGC